rnacentral:rRNA from 1 species
GGGUUGUGAGGUUAAGCGACUAAGCGUACACGGUGGAUGCCCUGGCAGUCAGAGGCGAUGAAGGACGUGCUAAUCUGCGAAAAGCGUCGGUAAGGUGAUAUGAACCGUUAUAACCGGCGAUGUCCGAAUGGGGAAACCCAGUGCAAUUCGUUGCACUAUCGUUAACUGAAUACAUAGGUUAACGAGGCGAACCGGGGGAACUGAAACAUCUAAGUACCCCGAGGAAAAGAAAUCAACCGAGAUUCCCCCAGUAGCGGCGAGCGAACGGGGAGCAGCCCAGAGUCUGAAUCAGCUUGUGUGUUAGUGGAACGGUCUGGAAAGUCCGACGGUACAGGGUGAUAGUCCCGUACACCAAAAUGCACAGGCUGUGAACUCGAAGAGUAGGGCGGGACACGUGGUAUCCUGUCUGAAUAUGGGGGGGCCAUCCUCCAAGGCUAAAUACUCCUGACUGACCGAUAGUGAACCAGUACCGUGAGGGAAAGGCGAAAAGAACCCCGGCGAGGGGAGUGAAAAAGAACCUGAAACCGUGUACGUACAAGCAGUGGGAGCACCUUCGGGUGUGACUGCGUACCUUUUGUAUAAUGGGUCAGCGACUUAUAUUCUGUAGCAAGGUUAACCGUAUAGGGGAGCCGCAGGGAAACCGAGUCUUAACUGGGCGUUAAGUUGCAGGGUAUAGACCCGAAACCCGGUGAUCUAGCCAUGGGCAGGUUGAAGGUUGGGUAACACUAACUGGAGGACCGAACCGACUAAUGUUGAAAAAUUAGCGGAUGACUUGUGGCUGGGGGUGAAAGGCCAAUCAAACCGGGAGAUAGCUGGUUCUCCCCGAAAGCUAUUUAGGUAGCGCCUCGUGAACUCAUCUUCGGGGGUAGAGCACUGUUUCGGCUAGGGGGUCAUCCCGACUUACCAACCCGAUGCAAACUACGAAUACCGAAGAAUGUUAUCACGGGAGACACACGGCGGGUGCUAACGUCCGUCGUGAAGAGGGAAACAACCCAGACCGCCAGCUAAGGUCCCAAAGUCAUGGUUAAGUGGGAAACGAUGUGGGAAGGCACAGACAGCCAGGAUGUUGGCUUAGAAGCAGCCAUCAUUUAAAGAAAGCGUAAUAGCUCACUGGUCGAGUCGGCCUGCGCGGAAGAUGUAACGGGGCUAAACCAUGCACCGAAGCUGCGGCAGCGACACUAUGUGUUGUUGGGUAGGGGAGCGUUCUGUAAGCCUGCGAAGGUGACCUGUGAGGGUUGCUGGAGGUAUCAGAAGUGCGAAUGCUGACAUAAGUAACGAUAAAGCGGGUGAAAAGCCCGCUCGCCGGAAGACCAAGGGUUCCUGUCCAACGUUAAUCGGGGCAGGGUGAGUCGACCCCUAAGGCGAGGCCGAAAGGCGUAGUCGAUGGGAAACAGGUUAAUAUUCCUGUACUUGGUGUUACUGCGAAGGGGGGACGGAGAAGGCUAUGUUAGCCGGGCGACGGUUGUCCCGGUUUAAGCAUGUAGGCUGAUUGUCCAGGCAAAUCCGGAUAAUCAAGGCUGAGGUGUGAUGACGAGGCACUACGGUGCUGAAGUAACAAAUGCCCUGCUUCCAGGAAAAGCCUCUAAGCAUCAGGUAACAUCAAAUCGUACCCCAAACCGACACAGGUGGUCAGGUAGAGAAUACCAAGGCGCUUGAGAGAACUCGGGUGAAGGAACUAGGCAAAAUGGUGCCGUAACUUCGGGAGAAGGCACGCUGGUGUGUAGGUGAAGCCCCUGCGGGUGGAGCUGAGACCAGUCGAAGAUACCAGCUGGCUGCAACUGUUUAUUAAAAACACAGCACUGUGCAAACACGAAAGUGGACGUAUACGGUGUGACGCCUGCCCGGUGCCGGAAGGUUAAUUGAUGGGGUUAUCCGUAAGGAGAAGCUCUUGAUCGAAGCCCCGGUAAACGGCGGCCGUAACUAUAACGGUCCUAAGGUAGCGAAAUUCCUUGUCGGGUAAGUUCCGACCUGCACGAAUGGCGUAAUGAUGGCCAGGCUGUCUCCACCCGAGACUCAGUGAAAUUGAACUCGCUGUGAAGAUGCAGUGUACCCGCGGCAAGACGGAAAGACCCCGUGAACCUUUACUAUAGCUUGACACUGAACAUUGAGCCUUGAUGUGUAGGAUAGGUGGGAGGCUUUGAAGCGUGGACGCCAGUCUGCGUGGAGCCAACCUUGAAAUACCACCCUUUAAUGUUUGAUGUUCUAACGUUGGCCCCUUACCGGGGUUGCGGACAGUGUCUGGUGGGUAGUUUGACUGGGGCGGUCUCCUCCCAAAGCGUAACGGAGGAGCACGAAGGUUAGCUAAUCCUGGUCGGACAUCAGGAGGUUAGUGCAAUGGCAUAAGCUAGCUUGACUGCGAGCGUGACGGCGCGAGCAGGUGCGAAAGCAGGUCAUAGUGAUCCGGUGGUUCUGAAUGGAAGGGCCAUCGCUCAACGGAUAAAAGGUACUCCGGGGAUAACAGGCUGAUACCGCCCAAGAGUUCAUAUCGACGGCGGUGUUUGGCACCUCGAUGUCGGCUCAUCACAUCCUGGGGCUGAAGUAGGUCCCAAGGGUAUGGCUGUUCGCCAUUUAAAGUGGUACGCGAGCUGGGUUUAGAACGUCGUGAGACAGUUCGGUCCCUAUCUGCCGUGGGCGCUGGAGAAUUGAGGGGGGCUGCUCCUAGUACGAGAGGACCGGAGUGGACGCAUCACUGGUGUUCGGGUUGUCAUGCCAAUGGCACUGCCCGGUAGCUAAAUGCGGAAGAGAUAAGUGCUGAAAGCAUCUAAGCACGAAACUUGCCCCGAGAUGAGUUCUCCCUGAGACUUUAAGUCUCCUGAAGGAACGUUAAAGACGAUGACGUUGAUAGGCCGGGUGUGUAAGCGCAGCGAUGCGUUGAGCUAACCGGUACUAAUGAACCGUGAGGCUUAACCUUACAACGCCGAAG